GACGAACGCUGGCGGCGUGCCUAAUACAUGCAAGUUGAGCGCUGAAGGUUGGUACUUGUACCAACUGGAUGAGCAGCGAACGGGUGAGUAACGCGUGGGGAAUCUGCCUUUGAGCGGGGGACAACAUUUGGAAACGAAUGCUAAUACCGCAUAAAAACUUUAAACACAAGUUUUAAGUUUGAAAGAUGCAAUUGCAUCACUCAAAGAUGAUCCCGCGUUGUAUUAGCUAGUUGGUGAGGUAAAGGCUCACCAAGGCGAUGAUACAUAGCCGACCUGAGAGGGUGAUCGGCCACAUUGGGACUGAGACACGGCCCAAACGCCUACGGGAGGCAGCAGUAGGGAAUCUGCGGCAAUGGACGAAAGUCUGACCGAGCAACGCCGCGUGAGUGAAGAAGGGUUUCGGAUCGUAAAACUCUGUUGGUAGAGAAGAACGUUGGUGAGAGUGGAAAGCUCAUCAAGUGACGGUAACUACCCAGAAAGGGACGGCUAACUACGUG
rnacentral:rRNA from 1 species